UUCCUACUGUAGUGUAAGCAAGAGCUGCAUUUGUCACUGUGAGCAUAUUUACAGCCUUCCUGAAGCAAGGAAGGGCUCUUCAGUGCUGCCCAGUCAAAGCAGAUAAAUUAGUGCCUGCCAAGUCAGGUUCAAGGAGUCCAGAGGCAGCACAUUAUUCCCAGCCACGUGGCAGAGAGAAGCUUUUAUCUAGUUUUUGUUUAAAAUGUAAGAGACUGCUUGGCUUUAACCAGCCUACUUAGCUGAGCCGUGUAGUUCCUUUAUGUAAAGUCGAAAGGCUUUGAAUCGUAUCAGACACUUUGGCAGACGCUUCAGCUCCUUUGCUCCAUAACAACCAUCUUUUCUUCAGUACACAAUAGUAGUUCUCCCUCAAACUUGAUUUAUUUAACAGAUACAUAAAAGACACAUCUCUCACUUCAACCACCCUCUUUCUUUAGGCUCAAGAAACCUUGAAAAAGUGCCCCUACUUGUCACAAGCAACCAUCCCUAGAUGAAGUUUUAUUUGCCAUCAGAGGGACAGACUGUCCCCAUGCCUUUCAUGGGGACCAGCCUCACUGCAGCACAGCAGAGCUGUUGCUGGUGAACCCAGGGACCACGGUAUCUCCAGUCCCUCCAGCUAAAUCCUGCAGGAACCAUGAUGCAGAUUCCCAUGGCCUUCCUUGGUUGUCAUACCAGCACUGUGUUUGCAGAAAAAGUCCAAAUAAUUCCCAAAGAUGUGUCUAAGUCCAGUGUUUGUAAAAUGGUUAUGCCAUGACCAACACCAACUAGGCAUACAUGAGGUGAAAUAGCACUUUAAUCUAGGGAGCCUGAGCAACUCCAAGCAGCCAUCAGCUCGCAGCAGUUCCUCCCUUCCCUGUCCAAGCAUGGACAAUUUCAUCGCAUGACAAGCUCCAAACACAAAACUCUCACUACAACAGGUCAUUCUUUCUCCCAUAACCGUGUCUGCAUGGCCCUGCCUAUUCUGCCACUGACAGAGGCAACCAGACUAGUACAGGGGGAUCGACAGCGAUGAAAGCAAGACAAAACUUCUAGGAGCAGAUGAAUGGCUACCACCUACCACUGUUCAUGUUCCCAUUUUCAUUGGCUUGGCAUGCUCUUUAAUGUCAUAUAAAGCUGAGUUAACUGAGGCAUGAGGCUGCCUAUAUUUUUCUGGCUGCUGUUGCAAGGGUACAAGCCAAGAAAGCAACGUUCAUGGGGAAGAGCAGCAGGGUUGUCAUGCUAGGAAGCAAAAUUAAGCUUCUGAACCACAAAACCACUUAGUUCCUAUUUCAUUUCUUGAGAAGGUCGAUCAGCUAAAACAGUAAGCAGUGAAAUCAACCCCUCAACUGCUGAAACCAGUGUGACCCAACCACUGAGCAGCAGCACUUGAGCCUGCUGUAUUUGACACCCUAGAUGUCUGUGUUCUGUAAGCAACCAG
rnacentral:lncRNA from 1 species